UGAGGUUCUUACCCACGAAAGCUUAUGCUCCCUAUACUUCUGUUAGUCUCAAAGGUGCCACAGGACCCUCUAUUGCUUUUUACAGAUUCAGACUAACACGGCUACCCCUCUGAUACUUUCAGGAAAUGAAGUCCUUGAUCCAAGCUGAUACCAUGAGGUUUUCUUCUCAUUCAUAGUAAAUGAUACUGAUAGAACAGCUAGCAACAGUGAGGUCAUGGUUUCCAAAUCUGCAUCCUGAAGUUGUAGUUUUGUUGUAGGCACAAUUCCAUGUUUCACUCAGUGGUGCUCAGUGCACUGCAUGUGUGGUGGAGAUUUCACUUGAUCUCUUGUGCAUUACAUAAUUAUUUUUUCAUAAAAGUUUUCUGUGGUAGGAUUUUCUGCAGAUGGGCUCAUUUUAUUAACUUUUUUACAAACACUCCAGUUUUCUGUGUCUAAAUUCUGUGCCCUGACUUGGGUUAUGUGCUGCUGGUGCAAGACUUGGUAUGUGUCUACACAGAACUGUGGAAGGCAUCAUAAUAUGUAAUAAUCUGCCACCGGAUCACAAAUGGACAAUAGUGACAAAUGGACACAAGGGCUCCCACCCUAGAUGCAGUGUGAAAUCCUGUCGUUGGUGGGCUGUACCCACUCCUGACAGAUACCAGUGGGUAUUUGUCUCUCUUACUCGUUGACAGCACAUGUAUAAAUUGACAUGCAAAUAAAAUCUCAUUGAAUUGAAAUUCUGAAAGGCACAAAAAAAAAGGGGGGGGGGGGAUCAUGAACCAGAAUUGGCUACUAGAUCUGUAUGCAGCAGGAAUCCAGUGGUUCCAAAUACCCUGGAGCCAGCAGUUUAUGUCCAUUACCCCACUCCAAUACCAAGCAGUAGCCUUGCUGGACUGGCUGUAUAUACCCCUAGGUCCCAGAGUACUGUAUUGAAGCUGAGAAUUCUAUCCCACCAGUUGAUGUUUGACUGCAUUUUUCCAUCUUCCCAGCUUUUUUAUUCAGGCUUCAUUCCCUUUCUGAAGAGAGUAGGGUCAUAAACUAAAGACAUAAACAUUAUCUUAUCUGACAUAGUAUUGCAAAUUCAGGAUAAUCUUACCUUUGAAGGGCAAGUAUUAUAGCUUCUAGUUUCUAUUUCAGUGUACUAAAAAUGUGUGAAGUAUUGAAUUUCCUUAUUUUCCCUGUUUUCACCUGAUGAAAGCAAAUAAUAUCUGGUGACGUAGCUAUUUGGGAAUGGGUCUGCAUAUGACCAUCAUCUGUUUGCUUCUUCUCUGAUUGAGAGACUAAAGAGAAAUGCAGUCUCAUUGCUUCUAUAGAUCCCCUGGCUACUGACCAACAGGAGCUUUAUCGGCAAAUUCAGAAGGAAUUAGGCCAAAAUCUGCUCUCAGUUAUGUGACUGCCACUCCCUGUUUGGCCCACUGCCUACUCAGCUAUUGGUCACAGUAUUAAAAAAGCAAGAGGGGAAUCUAGGGAGAGGGAAGGAUUGGUUAACCCACAACUCUUUAACCAUGUAAGAUGCACUGGCAGUCUUUAAGAUAUGUUUUGAUAUAUUCUUAAAAGAGAUGCUCUAGCGCAAACUGAAAUUAUGGGCUUGAUGCAAAAAUUACUGACUGAGCUCUAUGGCCUGUGUUAUGUAGCAGACUAGGUCAUCAUAAUGGUGCUGCUGGCCUUAAAAAUCUAUGAAAACAGGUACCUGGCAACUUGGCAAAGACAUGCUGGUGAAUAGACACAUAGUGGCUGAGUGCUUACUGACUUACCUGUAGGAUGGUACUGACAUAUAGUUUGAGUGAGUCAGGGAGAGUAGUGGGAGCUCAGCAUUUCUGAAUAUCAACCCGUAGACAUGAAACCAUUUCCUGAAUGGGUUAGAAUCAGGCAGAUGUUCUGGGCGGUACCCCCCUCUUUGAUACUCAGCUAACAACCUUUUCAUGGAGUUACCCAGGAAGGGAUGCCGAGCUCAUGCUCAGAGAUGGACUGUAGAACUGUGCAGUAGCUACAGCUGGACUCUGGGACAAGAUGCAGCAAUCCAGUAAGGCAACAGCAUCUCAGCAGAAAGUGCUGCAUAUAUGAAUGACAUUAUACAGAUGGAGGCCUGGUGUGCUGGAGGUGUACAUCUAAAUCAUCACAAUUAUGAUGGCCAAACCUCUCCGUGUGGCUGCAUGUUCCAGCUUGCCAGAGAUGGUCAAUGUCCUGUCAGAGAAUGGUGCAAACCCAAGCUCGUAGUGUCACCAGCAGAUUUGUAUAGGAGAAGAGGAUCAGACUGAGAGGAAUAAUGAAACAGCCAUUGCUGAAGCUACAGACUUGACGAAUGUGACGCCCAUACCUUCCGGCACAUAGCUGCUCCAGCCUAACAUUGGUGGGGUUGUCCAGAGAAGUGACCAAAUCCAGGUGAAUGCACAGCCCAUCACUGCAUGUUUGUGGUGAAAUCGGAAAUCUCCCAUGGGUUUGCAGAUGACGAUAUACCUUUCGAAGGCCAGGAUCGCCAAGGACCAAAGCCCCACAAUGCCUGAGAGAGAUCACUAAAUGACCAAACCUGAGGAUCUGCUCAGCCAGUGUGUUCUGAACUCCCCAGAGUGUGUGAAUACAGGAAGCAGUUGACAGUGCUGUGAAUCGCCACAUAAACUUCUGAUUUGCAACUGGAGCUUUUUUGUAAGAACACAAUCACGCACUUUGCAACAAACAGAGGAUAGCUAGCCAAGAUGAGUAGAAUCAGCUGCCGCUGAGCAAUUUUUGCCCCUGAAGUGCUCUGAAAAGGCAAUCAAACCAGUGCUUCAGCCGCUCACCUUUGGCGUUAAUUCCUAACACUACUCCACCUUAGCAGAGAGAAAGAGUGAGAGAGAGAGAGAGUCAGCUCAUUCCACAGAGGUGGUCCUACCACGGAAAGACCUAGCAAGUGGUGCACAGCAAGGUUUCUUUGUCACCUGCAUUAACAGAAGUAGGUGAAUGAGGAAGGAUUGUCCAGUGUGACUGUAACGUAAAGUGUGAACAGAGAUUGUCACCUGGCCAGGAAGUGCACCUUGCUGGUGGCUUUCACCACCUCGCACAAGAAGUGGAAGCAGUGCCUGGCAACCAUUCUGCAAUACCAAAGCGCGAGGCAGAUCAUGAGGAAGCGGAUUCAUUCAUGUUCUUGCAUGUUGCUCAUUCAAAGUAAGCACUCAGAGUAAACAGGGUGCUAAUGUGGCACUUGGACUCAGAUAUUGCAGUUCUUUGACCAAGGUAUUGCCAGGGCCGGUGCAAGGAAGUUUCGCGCCCUAGGCGAAACUUCCACCUUGCGCCCCUCCAC